UACAGAGGUCUCAAGCGUUGUUCGGAUUCAUUGGGCGUAAAGGGUGCGUAGGCGGCGCGGUAAGUCGGGUGUGAAAUUUCGAGGCUUAACUUCGAAACUGCAUUCGAUACUGCCGUGCUUGAGGACUGGAGAGGAGACUGGAAUUUACGGUGUAGCGGUGAAAUGCGUAGAUAUCGUAAGGAAGACCAGUGGCGAAGGCGGGUCUCUGGACAGUUCCUGACGCUGAGGAGCGAAAGUGUGGGGAGCGAACAGG
rnacentral:rRNA from 1 species